UGGGGAAUUUUCCGCAAUGGGCGAAAGCCUGACGGAGCAAGACCGCGUGGGGGAGGAAGGCCCUUGGGUUGUAAACCCCUUUUAUCAGGGAAGAAACAAAUGACGGUACCUGAUGAAUCAGCCUCGGCUAACUCCGUGCCAGCAGCCGCGGUAAUACGGAGGAGGCAAGCGUUAUCCGGAAUUAUUGGGCGUAAAGCGUCCGCAGGUGGCUAAUCAAGUCCGCGGUUAAAGACCGGAGCUCAACUCCGGAGCAGCCGUAGAAACUGAAAAGCUAGAGACCGGUAGGGGUAGUGGGAAUUCCCAGUGUAGCGGUGAAAUGCGUAGAGAUUGGGAAGAACAUCGGUGGCGAAAGCGCACUACUGGGCCGGUUCUGACACUGAGGGACGAAAGCUAGGGUAGCGAAAGGG
rnacentral:rRNA from 1 species